GAGGACGCAUGCAGAGGCUCAGGAAGGACCGGAGUCAUCGCAGCCCUCGCAGAAGUCCAGCCACCUGGGCCUGGAGAUGGCGCCAACUGAAGUCCGGCAGGCACAUCCGACCCUGCAGACCUUGCAUCUGCCUGAACCACCAGGGACUCAUCUGAGACACAGACGGCCCCACAGGCUCUGUCUGCAGUGGCCAGGCCUCGGACUUUUGGGGGUCCUGGCCCCCAGCUGCCACUCACUUGACCUGCCCCGCCCCUGCUGCUCACCCUCCGUGUGAUUGGCUCUACCAGCUGCUGGAUAGGGCCUGCUGGCUUUGAUUCCCUCAGAUCCCAGCCUGUGGGAAGCUAUAGCCCCACACUGUAAGACCUCCAGGCCCACACAGAGGGACCGCUUUGAUCUCAUCUGAGCACAGACACAAAUAUCACAGGGCACAAACAUGAUGCCAUGAAACAGCCCCACUGAAGAACAUAUGCAGUGGGAUUCAGGUCAGAGAUAUGGAAUUCAGCUCACAGUUGCUGCUCUUCUCACUGCAUGCCCUGGCUCUUUGAAUCUUCUCUGGACCUGAGAGCUGCCAGGUAGGGGAAUCCUUUAUUUUAUUUGCUCAAAUAAACUGCUAAGUUUCACUUAUCUAAGAGUUUUUUCUUUUUAAUAUUAACCAUGGGAUAGACACUGAAAUUUUAUUUCAGUGU
rnacentral:lncRNA from 1 species